CGAGCGCGCUACCGCUUGAGCCACAUCCCCAGCCCGGUACAAGUGAUUUAAACAGAAAAUGAAACACCAACAAAUCAAGGAAGAAGUAACAGAACAGACAAAAACUUGCAAAAUAAGUAUAAAUAACAUAAUCAUGAAGGCUGAAUUCCCUAAUGCUCAAGUAAACAUAAAAUUAGAAUUUUUUUUAAAGAACAAAAUUGGAGGACUUACAUUUCCUAAUUUCAAAACCUAGUACAGAGCUAUCAUAAUCAAUAAAAUGUAGCUCUGGCAUAAGGAGAGACACAUAUAUCAAUGGAAAUAAACCCAUGAUUUGGUGAACUGAUUUUUGACAAUGGUGCCAAACCAUCUAAGACUACUUUUUGCAAUACUCUUUUUAAUAAAUGGUGCUGGUAGUCUGGAAAUCCAUAUGAAAAAAAGAAAAAGGAGGAGGAGGAGGAGGAGAAGUUGGAUCCUUAUUUUAUGCCAGAUGAAAAAAAUUUAAGAGGAUAUUAAUUUAAGAGGAUAUUCAUAAUGGCAGAUUAGAGGAAGCCUGUAUUUCCAAUUGCUUAGUGUAUCAGGAUUCAAGCAGAGAGAAUAUUGCUUCCCAUUGAGGCAGGUUAAAGAGCAAAUUCACUGAAAUUCUGUGACAGUAAGAGCAAAUGUGACUCCAUUUUGUUUUGUGACUUCAUCCUGUAAAACCACCAUGCCAAGUAGAGGAGUCAUGACUGGGGCAAAAUGUCCUUUUCCUUUUGCUAUAGAAACCUUUAAGAACCCGGAACUACCUAAUGGGGCAUUGUUUCUGUAACUAGGGUAACGGGGCUCUGUUUCUGUAACUGGAGUGACUGGACUAACUGUGAUUGGUUAGGCUUCCCUAUGUUGACUGCACUGUCCUGCUUCUGUAACCUGGCUUGCUUGCAUUGGCUAGACCCCUGAACAUCCCUUUUGCAGUUUUCAGGCUUAGAAGGCGUGCCCUUGCAAUUGUUCGGGGCUGAUCAGGGGAACAGCUUUAUGUUCUGAUCAGCCGCCACCGGUGUGCUUCAAUAAAGGCUUGAUUCCAC
rnacentral:lncRNA from 1 species